rnacentral:lncRNA from 1 species
GUGUUGUUCCUUCUGACUAAAGUCCGUUCAUCUUCUACGGUCACAUUCACUUUUGUUCCCACCUGUUCAAAACUCUGAAUUGUUGGCUGUCCGAGGUUUGCUGAAACAAAGGAAAUGAGCUUGGUUGGAACCAAAGAAUUCUGUACAAAGUCAAAUCCUGUUUUGUUAUCACAAUUGACAACUUAAUUAUCUCUCAUAUAAAACAUGUGCAUAGAACCAGCUCCCUGAAAGAAGCAGGCGUGGCGGCCUGGAGCUGAAUCCUAAGACAUUCUGUGGUAGUGCUGGCCCAAGGGGAAGACAAUGGAGCCUCAGAUGUCAUUUUAAGUUUUCUAGUAGUCACAUUAGAAAAAGUAAAAAGGAACAGGUGAAAUUAAUUUUAAUAAUAUAUUUUAUUUAACCAAAGACAGUUGACCCCUGAACAACAUGGGUUUGAACUCUGUGGAUCCACUUGUAUGCAAAUUUUUUUAAAUAAAAGUUACACCAAGUGUGCCGCCUCCUACUUCCUCCAUCUUUUCUCCUGCCGUGGCCCCUGCUCUUCCUCCUCCUCCUCCUCCUCAGCCUACUCAACAUGAAGAUGACGAGGAUGAACACCUUUAUGAUGAUCCACUUCCACUUUAUCAAUAGUAAAUAUAUUUUCUCUUCCUUAUAAUUCUUUCUCUUCCUUCCUUCUUUCUUUU